UUGGGAGAGGACUAUGAGAGAGAGGGGGAUAUAGAGAUAGAGAUAGAGAGAGAGAGAGAGAGAGAGAGAUACAGAGGGAUGGAUGAAGAGUGAGAGAGCGAAAGGGCAAUGAGAUUGGUCGUGGGGAGAGGAGAGAGAGAGAGAGAGAGAGAGGAAGUGAAAGAAAGAGAGAAGGAGAGCUGAAGAAACGGUGCUAACAAUUGAAGAGAUGGCGCUAAAGUGAUGGGAAGGAGUAGUGAGAUCUUAUCAAGGAUAAGAAAACAGCACCUUACAUAUUUUUGUCAGGACCUCUAAGAUGGAUAAGAGAAAGGGAAGAAAGGAUCUUCGAACCAGUGUUCAAGCCUGAAACAACAGAAUGAACUCUCCUAAAGGAACCCAAAGACCAGAUGGCUAUGAUAAAUUGAAAGGAUGAGUAACCCUAUAGACUAUCAGUUCAUGGCCAUUUAACAGCAUGCAAAAUUUUGGCAAAUAUAAAUCAGUAUUCCCUAGCAAUCUCUUCAUUUUCCAUUACAUAUUUAAAUAAAAUUUUUUGUUAAAGAAA